rnacentral:rRNA from 1 species
UACGGAGGGGACUAGCGUUGUUCGGAAUUACUGGGCGUAAAGCGCGCGUAGGCGGAUUUGCAAGUCGGGGGUGAAAGCCCGAGGCUCAACCUCGGAACUGCCCUCGAUACUGCAAAUCUCGAGUCCGAGAGAGGUGAGUGGAAUUCCUAGUGUAGAGGUGAAAUUCGUAGAUAUUAGGAAGAACACCAGUGGCGAAGGCGGCUCACUGGCUCGGUACUGACGCUGAGGCGCGAAAGCGUGGGGAGCAAACGGG